rnacentral:rRNA from 1 species
UACGGAGGGUGCAAGCGUUAUCCGGAUUUACUGGGUUUAAAGGGUGUGUAGGCGGACUUUUAAGUCAGGGGUGAAAUCCCGAGGCUCAACCUCGGAACUGCCUUUGAUACUAUUGGUCUUGAAUCAUGUUGAGGUGGGCGGAACGGGUCAUGUAGCGGUGAAAUGCAUAGAUAUGACCCGGAACACCGAUUGCGAAGGCAGCCCGCUAAGCAAGCAUUGACGCUGAGGCACGAAAGCGUGGGGAUCAAACAGG